rnacentral:tRNA from 1 species
GCAGACAUAGUCUAAUAUUAUCACGCUGGUCUGUGGACCCAGAAAUAGGAAUUAACUCCCCCUUGUCUGCC